rnacentral:rRNA from 2 species
UACGUAGGGUCCAAGCGUUAUCCGGAAUCACUGGGCGUAAAGCGUGCGUAGGCGGCGUGUUAAGUGUGAUGUUAAAUCGUGUGGCUCAACCAUAUCGAUGCAUCACAUACUGGCAUGCUAGAGGAAGGCAGAGGCAAGUGGAAUUUGUAGUGUAGCAGUGAAAUGCGUAGAUAUUACAAGGAACACCAAUGGCGAAGGCAGCUUGCUGGGCCUUUUCUGACGCUGAGGUACGAAAGCGUGGGGAGCGAACAGG